UGGGGAAUUUUGGACAAUGGGCGCAAGCCUGAUCCAGCCAUGCCGCGUGCGGGAAGAAGGCCUUCGGGUUGUAAACCGCUUUUGUCAGGGAAGAAAUCUUCUGAGUUAAUACCUCGGGAGGAUGACGGUACCUGAAGAAUAAGCACCGGCUAACUACGUGCCAGCAGCCGCGGUAAUACGUAGGGUGCAAGCGUUAAUCGGAAUUACUGGGCGUAAAGCGUGCGCAGGCGGUUUUGUAAGACAGAGGUGAAAUCCCCGGGCUCAACCUGGGAACUGCCUUUGUGACUGCAAGGCUUGAGUGCGGCAGAGGGGGAUGGAAUUCCGCGUGUAGCAGUGAAAUGCGUAGAUAUGCGGAGGAACACCGAUGGCGAAGGCAAUCCCCUGGGCCUGCACUGACGCUCAUGCACGAAAGCGUGGGGAGCAAACAGGAUUAGAUAGCCCUGGUAGUCCACGCCCUAAAACGAUGUCAACUGGUUGUUGGGAAGGUUCCUUCUCAGUAACGUAGCUAACGCGUGAAGUUGACCGCCUGGGGAGUACGGCCGCAAGGUUGAAACUCAAAGGAAUU
rnacentral:rRNA from 1 species